UACGGAGGAUGCAAGCGUUAUCCGGAAUGAUUGGGCGUAAAGCGUCCGCAGGUGGCUAUGUAAGUCUGCUGUUAAAGCGUGAGGCUCAACCUCAUAGGAGCAGUGGAAACUACAUGGCUAGAGUGCGUUCGGGGCAGAGGGAAUUCCUGGUGUAGCGGUGAAAUGCGUAGAUAUCUGGAAGAACACCGGUGGCGAAAGCGCUCUGCUAGGCCGCAACUGACACUGAGGGACGAAAGCUAGGGGAGCGAAUGGG
rnacentral:rRNA from 1 species